UUCGAUCUUCGGGGCAAGGUGACCCUUUAAAACAGGGGAAUUCCUGACCGGCGGUAAAGCCCGCGAGGGUGUGCAGGUAGUAGAAUGUUUACUCGAGAAUUAAAAAACAGCUUGAAGUGACAAAUUUAUUUACCGCACACCCAGAACCGGUGAAAUUCCGGUGCCGACGGUAAAGUCCGGAUGGAAGAAGAUUCGA
rnacentral:ncRNA from 2 species